rnacentral:rRNA from 1 species
GAUGAGCGCUGGCUACAGGCUUAACACAUGCAAGUCGAGGGGAAACGACGGGGAAGCUUGCUUCCCCGGGCGUCGACCGGCGCACGGGUGAGUAACGCGUAUCCAACCUGCCUCUGACUGAGGGAUAACCCGUCGAAAGUCGGCCUAAUACCUCAUGGCAUCGUCUGCGGGCAUCCAACGACGAUUAAAGAUUUCAUCGGUCAGGGAUGGGGAUGCGUCUGAUUAGCUUGUUGGCGGGGUAACGGCCCACCAAGGCUACGAUCAGUAGGGGUUCUGAGAGGAAGGUCCCCCACAUUGGAACUGAGACACGGUCCAAACUCCUACGGGAGGCAGCAGUGAGGAAUAUUGGUCAAUGGGCGGGAGCCUGAACCAGCCAAGUAGCGUGCAGGAUGACGGCCCUAUGGGUUGUAAACUGCUUUUAUGCGGGGAUAAAGUGAGGGACGUGUCCUUCAUUGCAGGUACCGCAUGAAUAAGGACCGGCUAAUUCCGUG